rnacentral:rRNA from 1 species
AAUUCGCCCUUAGAGUUUGAUCCUGGCUCAGGACGAACGCUGGCGGCGCGCCUAACACAUGCAAGUCGAACGGAGCUGAGAGGAGCUUGCUUUUCUCAGCUUAGUGGCGAACGGGUGAGUAACGCGUGAGUAACCUGCCCUGGAGUGGGGGACAACAGUUGGAAACGACUGCUAAUACCGCAUAAGCCCACGGUGCUGCAUGGCACAGCGGGAAAAGGAUUUAUUCGCUCUAGGAUGGACUCGCGUCCAAUUAGCUAGUUGGUGAGGUAACGGCCCACCAAGGCGACGAUUGGUAGCCGGACUGAGAGGUUGAACGGCCACAUUGGGACUGAGACACGGCCCAGACUCCUACGGGAGGCAGCAGUGGGGGAUAUUGCACAAUGGGGGAAACCCUGAUGCAGCGACGCCGCGUGGAGGAAGAAGGUUUUCGGAUUGUAAACUCCUGUCGUUAGGGACGAUAAUGACGGUACCUAACAAGAAAGCACCGGCUAACUACGUGCCAGCAGCCGCGGUAAAACGUAGGGUGCAAGCGUUGUCCGGAAUUACUGGGUGUAAAGGGAGCGCAGGCGGACCGGCAAGUUGGAAGUGAAAACCAUGGGCUCAACCCGUGAAUUGCUUUCAAAACUGCUGGCCUUGAGUAGUGCAGAGGUAGGUGGAAUUCCCGGUGUAGCGGUGGAAUGCGUAGAUAUCGGGAGGAACACCAGUGGCGAAGGCGACCUACUGGGCACCAACUGACGCUGAGGCUCGAAAGCAUGGGUAGCAAACAGGAUUAGAUACCCUGGUAGUCCAUGCCGUAAACGAUGAAUACUAGGUGUAGGAGGUAUCGACCCCUUCUGUGCCGGAGCUAACACAAUAAGUAAUCCACCUGGGGAGUACGACCGCAAGGUUGAAACUCAAAGGAAUUGACGGGGGCCCGCACAAGCAGUGGAGUAUGUGGUUUAAUUCGAAGCAACGCGAAGAACCUUACCAGGUCUUGACAUCCGAUGCAUAGUGCAGAGAUGCAUGAAGUCCUUCGGGACAUCGAGACAGGUGGUGCAUGGUUGUCGUCAGCUCGUGUCGUGAGAUGUUGGGUUAAGUCCCGCAACGAGCGCAACCCUUAUUGCCAGUUACUACGCAAGAGGGCUCUGGCGAGACUGCCGUUGACAAAACGGAGGAAGGUGGGGAUGACGUCAAAUCAUCAUGCCCUUUAUGACCUGGGCUACACACGUACUACAAUGGCGUUUAACAAAGAGAAGCAAGACCGCGAGGUGGAGCAAAACUCAGAAACAACGUCUCAGUUCAGAUUGCAGGCUGCAACUCGCCUGCAUGAAGUCGGAAUUGCUAGUAAUCGCGGAUCAGCAUGCCGCGGUGAAUACGUUCCCGGGCCUUGCACUCACCGCCCGUCA